UCUUAAGUUCAACAUGUGUAGAAUUAACUUACUGUUAUUCUCCCAUAACCUGGUCUUCGCCUAGUCUUUUCCUUUGCAGGGGUAGGCAAUUCCUUUCAUCCAAUUGCUCUAACCAAAAUUCUGUCUCUCUCUUUUUUUUUUUUUUUUUUUUUUUUUUUUGAGACGGAGUUUUGCUCUUCCUGCCUAGGUGGAGGUUGCAGUGAGCCGAGAUAGCAUCACCACACUCUAGCCUGGCGACAGAGCGAGACUCCAUCUGAAAAAAAAAGAAAAGAAAAGAAGAGAAAAAAAAUAUGUAUAGUUGGAAGGAAUGUGUGAAUAUGGCUUUCCCCUCUAGACCUUUGCACCUACUUUUCCCUUGGUGCUGUGUACUUUUACUCCUUUUUCAACUUUUCAACCUCUGUUCUUGAAGUCUCAGCACAGAUACUUUCUUAAUAGUCUUCUGACCACUUCCAUCAACUGCAGGCUUUGUUAAGUGAUAUACUUACCCGUACUCCGACACUUAUCAUACUUUGUAAAAGUAUCUUUUUGUUUUUCAGCCUCUUAUUACAGACACACUUUAAACCUACUGCAGGCAGGUUGUUUGUCUUAUUCUGUUUUGUAUACACAUCAUAUAAUUUAGUCCCCAAGGUAUGAACAUUAAUAAGGGUCUACUCUGCUAGGCAUGACCCCAGGGAUGGGACUUCAGCAAGGGCUGUGUCUACUUUGUUCAUGCUUACAUUUUGUGCUUGUGCAUAAUAAGUACUUAAUACAUGGAUGUUUAAUAAAUGCAAUUUUACAUUGGAAAAUUAAAAAUGAAUAUAGGCACAUAAAAACAUAAUAUUUCUUCCUAUGAUCUUUAAUGGUAAGAUUCAAGAGGAUUUCAAGAACCAUCAUCUGAUAAACAUAUUCUGUUAACAUAAAGUAAGCAUAUCCUAGAUUAUGGAUACUGUCCUAGAUUACUGAUACUAGACUAUGGACACUGUCCUAGAUUUUUGGUAGUUUCCAUCAUAAAAAUCUUUAUUUAUUAAUUUUUUUGGACUCUUGUUUCCUCCUAAAAGCCUGAGAAUGUUUUUCAUGAAGAAGUUGUAUUCCUCUAGGACAUUUUGAGGAAAAUCCUUUUCUCAAAAGCUAAUCUGAAAAAGCCUGAUUUGUCAAAUUUACUUGUUUAAUUCUUCAGUUUUAGUAGAUAAUUUUUAUUUUGUCAUUACUGUAGCAUUUUAAGAAAUAUCCAAUUUUUUUUCUCUCUCAGCUCCCUACUAUACAUCUGUAGAGUAAGGGAUAAGGAGUAGAGGAGACAGAGUAGAGAAUGUGGAGAUACUAAGGGGCAUUGAAAAUUUCUUUUCACCAACUUCCUAUUAUUUGUGCUAUAAUAUGAAAACCAUCAUAGCACUCAAUUGCACGAAUUAUAUUUGCUGUUGUUCUGUUCUCAAGUGCAAUUAGUUGCUGGAUGAGUAAACAUCCUCCCUAAAUUCAUACAAACAUUGCACAGACACACACACACACACACAUAAAAUCACUUCCUACAACUCUAGUCUAAAAAUAUAACUAUAUUAAAUUUUUAGGUUAAAAGUAUAUUCUAACUCACAGGUUAGGAGAAAAUAUUUAUCAAUUACAUAUAUGUUAAGGAACAUGCAUCCAUAAUAUGUAAAGAAUUUUUACAACUCAACAGUAGCAAGUAACUCAAUUUUAAAAUGGGCAAAAGAUUUGAAUAGACCUUUCUCCAAAGAAGAUAUUCAAAUGGCCAAUAAGCACAUGAAAAGAUACUCAAUCUUCAACAUAAGUAGUCAUUAGGGAAAUGCAAAUCAAACCAUAAUGAAUUAUCACUUCACACAUACAAGGAUGGCUAAAAUAAGACAACAAUAACAACAAACAAUAACAAUAUUGAGAAGGAUGUAGAGAAAGUGAAACUCACACAUCGAUGGUGAGACUGUAAAGUCAUACAACUACUUUGUAAAACAACUUGAAAAUGUCUCAAAAUACUAAAAAUAGAAUUAUCAUGGCACUCAUUAUUUCCACUCCUAGGUUGUACCCAAAAGAAAUAAAAAUAUAUGUUCAUACAAAAACAUUAUUUAUAGUAGCCAAAAGGUGGAAACAGCACAAAUGUUAAUCAACAGAUGAAUGGAUAAACAAAAUAUGGUGUAUCCACACAAAGAAACAUUUCGCAAUAAAAAUAAAUGAAGUACUGAUAUAUGCUAUGUAUCAGUGUCUCAAUGUUCAACAUGUAUGAACAUGAAGGCAUUGUGCUUAAAUAAGCCAGCCACAAGUGACCACACACUACAUAAUUCCAUUUAUGAGAAAUGUCAAGAAUAGGUAAAUCUGUAGAGAUACUGAAUAUAUUGCUGGCUGCUAGGAGUCAGAAGAGGAGGGAAUAAGGAGUGACUGCUAGUGGGUGUGGGUUUCCUUGUGUAGUGAUGAAAAUUUUCUAAAUUUAGAUAGUGAUGAUGGUUGUACACAACUCUAUUUGUAUACUGGAAACACCAAACUGUACAGUUCAAAAGGAUGAAUUUUAUGAUACAUGAAUUUUAUCUCAAUAAAGCUAUUAAAAAAACAACAUUCUGUGGUUAUAUGUUUUUGACUACAAAUACCGUGUAUAGCUUUUAAGUGUAUGCCCCCUUGAUUGCAUUUACUUUCUAAUACAACUUUUUGUUUUUCCUAGAG
rnacentral:lncRNA from 1 species